rnacentral:rRNA from 1 species
GAUGAACGCUGGCGGCGUGCCUAACACAUGCAAGUCGAGCGAUCUUCUUCGGAAGAGAGCGGCGGACGGGUGAGUAACGCGUGGGUAACCUGCCCUGUACACGCGGAUAACAUACCGAAAGGUAUGCUAAUACGAGAUAAUGUGCUUUUAUCGCAUGGUAGAAGUAUCAAAGCUUUUGCGGUACAGGAUGGACCCGCGUCUGAUUAGCUAGUUGGUGAGGUAACGGCUCACCAAGGCGACGAUCAGUAGCCGACCUGAGAGGGUGAUCGGCCACAUUGGAACUGAGACACGGUCCAAACUCCUACGGGAGGCAGCAGUGGGGAAUAUUGCACAAUGGGCGAAAGCCUGAUGCAGCAACGCCGCGUGAGCGAUGAAGGCCUUCGGGUCGUAAAGCUCUGUCCUCAAGGAAGAUAAUGACGGUACUUGAGGAGGAAGCCCCGGCUAACUAC